rnacentral:rRNA from 1 species
CCCUUAGACGUUCUGGGCCGCACGCGCGCUACACUGACCAGUGCAACAAGCAUCCGUCCUUGGCCGACAGGCCCGGGCAAUCUUUGAACGCUGGUCGUGAUGGGGAUAGACUUUUGCAAUUUUUGGUCUUCAACGAGGAAUUCCUAGUAAACGCAAGUCAUCAACUUGCAUUGAUUACGUCCCUGCCCUUUGUACACACCGCCCGUCGCACCUACCGAUUGAAUGGUCCGGUGAAAUCUCGGGACGGCGGCUUGGUCGCUUGCGUCCGACUGCUGAAACUUGAUUAAACCAUAUCAUUUAGAGGAAGGUGAANUCGUANCA